rnacentral:rRNA from 1 species
AUUGAACGCUGGCGGAAUGCUUUACACAUGCAAGUCGAACGGCAGCACGGGAGCUUGCUCCUGGUGGCGAGUGGCGAACGGGUGAGUAAUAUAUCGGAACGUAUCCAAUAAUGGGGGAUAACUAGUCGAAAGAUUAGCUAAUACCGCAUACGCCCUGAGGGGGAAAGCUGGGGAUCUUCGGACCUGGCGUUAAUGGAGCGGCCGAUAUCUGAUUAGCUAGUAGGUGAGGUAAAAGCUCACCUAGGCGACGAUCAGUAGCUGGUCUGAGAGGACGACCAGCCACACUGGAACUGAGACACGGUCCAGGAUCCUACGGGAGGCAGAAGUGGGGAAUUUUGGACAAUGGGCGCAAGCCUGAUCCAGCCAUUCCGCGUGAGUGAAGAAGGCCUUCGGGUUGUAAAGCUCUUUCGCAAGGGAAGAAAACUUAUCCUCUAACAUAGGAUGAGGUUGACGGUACCUUGAUAAGAAGCACCGGCUAACUACGUGCCAGCAGCCGCCGUAA